rnacentral:rRNA from 1 species
AAGACCUUGCGCUUUUGGAGCGGCCGAUGCCUGAUUAGCUUGUUGGUAAGGUAAAAGCUUACCAAGGCUUCGAUCAGUAGCUGGUCUGAGAGGACGACCAGCCACACUGGGACUGAGACACGGCCCAGACUCCUACGGGAGGCAGCAGUGGGGAAUUUUGGACAAUGGGGGCAACCCUGAUCCAGCCAUGCCGCGUGAGUGAAGAAGGCCUUAGGGUUGUAAAGCUCUUUCAGCCGGAACGAAACGGUUACGGUUAAUACCCGUGACUACUGACGGUACCGGAAGAAGAAGCACCGGCUAACUACGUGCCAGCAGCCGCGGUAAUACGUAGGGUGCGAGCGUUAAUCGGAAUUACUGGGCGUAAAGCGUGCGCAGGUGGUUUUGUAAGUCAGAUGUGAAAGCCCCGGGCUCAACCUGGGAACU